AUGCAAGUCGAGCGGCAGCACACAGAAACUUGUUUCUCGGGUGGCGAGCGGCCUUCGGGUGAGUAAUGCCUGGGAAAUUGCCCUGAUGUGGGGGAUAACCAUUGGAAACGAUGGCUAAUACCGCAUGAUGCCUACGGGCCAAAGAGGGGGACCUUCGGGCCUCUCGCGUCAGGAUAUGCCCAGGUGGGAUUAGCUAGUUGGUGAGGUAAGGGCUCACCAAGGCGACGAUCCCUAGCUGGUCUGAGAGGAUGAUCAGCCACACUGGAACUGAGACACGGUCCAGACUCCUACGGGAGGCAGCAGUGGGGAAUAUUGCACAAUGGGCGCAAGCCUGAUGCAGCCAUGCCGCGUGUGUGAAGAAGGCCUUCGGGUUGUAAAGCACUUUCAGUUGUGAGGAAGGUAGUGUUGUGAAUAGCAGCAUCAUUUGACGUUAGCAACAGAAGAAGCACCGGCUAACUCCGUGCCAGCAGCCGCGGUAAUACGGAGGGUGCGAGCGUUAAUCGGAAUUACUGGGCGUAAAGCGCAUGCAGGUGGUUUGUUAAGUCAGAUGUGAAAGCCCCGGGCUCAACCUGGGAAUUGCAUUUGAAACUGGCAAACUAGAGUACUGUAGAGGGGGGUAGAAUUUCAGGUGUAGCGGUGAAAUGCGUAGAGAUCUGAAGGAAUACCGGUGGCGAAGGCGGCCCCCUGGACAGAUACUGACACUCAGAUGCCAAAGCGUGGGGAGCAAA
rnacentral:rRNA from 1 species